rnacentral:sRNA from 1 species
UCCUAGCGUCUGAAAGAGUCCAGAAACGUCCUACAACAAGUCACAACCAAAAGCAACCUUGAAGCAAACUGUACAUGAAAAACAGAAACAAUCAACCUCAAAGACGAAAACCUAAAAUACAAACUAACCGUUAACUAUUAAAUCGCUCCAGUGAAACGUUAGCCCUAGACGUCACGAAGCUUCCCACAAAAUAUUGUCCCGAUCGGAAAAC